rnacentral:rRNA from 1 species
GACGAACGCUGGCGGUAUGCUUAACACAUGCAAGUCGAACGAGAAGUUUUUUAUUGAACCUUCGGGGGAUAUAAGAGACAGACAGUGGCGAACGGGUGAGUAACGCGUGGGCAACCUACCUAUCGGAGCGGGAUAGCCUCGAGAAAUCGGGAGUAAAACCGCAUAACACGGAUAUAUCGCAUGAUGAAUCCGUCAAAACUCCGGUGCCGAUAGAUGGGCCCGCGUCUGAUUAGCUAGUUGGUAAGGUAAGGGCUUACCAAGGCAACGAUCAGUAGCCGGUCUGAGAGGGCGAACGGCCACACUGGAACUGAGACACGGUCCAGACUCCUACGGGAGGCAGCAGUGGGGAAUAUUGCGCAAUGGGGGCAACCCUGACGCAGCAAUACCGCGUGAGUGAAGAAGGUUUUCGGAUCGUAAAGCUCUGUUAUUGGGGAAGAAGCAGGACGGUACC